UUUUUCAUAACGAAUCCAAAGAGAAUAUACUCCUAAUUAUACCAAAACUCGGUUCGCAAGGCAUAUCUUUAUAAAUAUCUUUAAACGAAAAUCUUUAAUAUCCAUGUAUCCUCUUUAAACCUAUUUAUUUUGCUAUAUAUACUAUCUAAGCGACACAUUCAAUCUAAACUAAAGCACACAACUUAAGCAAACAAAAUAAAUGCUACACCAAAGUUAUCAUAUACAUGUCCGAUAUCAAGCUUUACAAAACUGAAUGGUGGAUCGCAGUGAAAGUUGUUCACACCAGAUAACAAUUCAGUGAACAAUUUGGUGAGACAUUGGAACUCAUUUUCUCUGACAAGAAGGAUCAAAAAAUCAUGCAUCAUGCAAAAAACUACUUGCUUAGUUUGGGCAGGGACUUCCAUGUGGGUGAUUGGAAAAACAGAGAAUUAUUUCCACUAAGUGCAGCAGCUGGUGGAUACUAACCUACCACUCACGUUAUAAAAUGGGGUUUAUGAAGUUCACCUCCAUUACUCCAUAUAAAUUCAGUAAUAUGAUGUUGUGGAACAAGCCAUAGAUAUUGUAGAAAAAAGCCAUUAAACGUAAGUAACCACCUUCUUUUAAAAAAAAACGA